GAUGAGUGUUAAAGUCCCUCCCAGCCCAAGCCAUUUUAUGAAUCUCUUUGGGAGAGUGACACAUGUAAAAUGCUGAGAUACAUUCAGGUACCCCAGAGAGUCAUCUGAAUUGUGCUGGAGAUGUACAGCUCAGUCAGAGCUGGAGGAAACCACGAAGGCUGAGAGCCACCCUGUGGGGUCAGGAGGGCUGCUCACUUUCUCAGCUGAGUUGAGCUCACUCCAGAGCCAGAACUCCCACGGCCAGGGGGAGGCUCUGGACAACAUACCUGGCAUCAGAUGGGCUGUGGGGUGGGCCACACUCUUUCCAAGAAGGGACUGUCAUUUUCAUUGCUCUUAUCUGGAAAUUGCUCUGAAAAUAAGUAUUUUGUGAGCCUGAGCAAAAACACUGGGGAGCACUCAGCAGCAAAUUCUUUCACAUGCUGCCUUUUUUGUUUUGUAUGAUUCCCAACGUUUCUGGCAAAAACAUUUCCUCUGACUGUUUUCCUUCUAGAAACAGCCUUCUUCCAGACAGGGCUACUCUGCCACUAUUUAGCUGGGUAGACACAGGGCUAUUUAAAACACAGAGCUGGAACAUUAGCAAAGCACUUGUCUCAUUCCAAGACAAGCAGGGAAGGGGAGGGUGCACAUCGCCGAGUGCAACCUUGUUCAUCCCUGGGAGGUUUGUGCCUGCAUCAUGCCAAUUUGUGCUGAAUUUAAGGUUUCUGGCAAAAUCUGACAAGAUUUUUUAGAAGCUGCUAGUUCACAGCCUUGAGUAUUUAUGAUUUUUGGCUGCCAGCUCUCACAUACGUUGCGGUCAGCAGUUUAAUUAUUUACCAGGCUCUGUACAGUACCGUUCAAGCAGCAACCAUCAAAUCUGGCAUUUUGAUAAUGCAAGGGUAAUUGGGUAAUUUUUUUUUCUUCCCCUCCCACCAGCUCCAGCCCCCUAUUCUGUAGGGAGAUGCAGAGUCAUAGCUCUGCUGCCUUGGCUUCCCGCCAUCUCACUGCUCCUUUAAAACCCCAUACCUCCCAUUGAAGGAACUCAGUGUCCUGUUCACCAGGAGGACGUCAAUGUUUCUAUGGAAACUCUUCCCAAAGAUUCUUGCUGCCGCUGCUGCGUAUUGUAUGACUGGCUUUGUACACUGCAAUUCAUUAUCCAGGCUGUGACGAAAAGGGAGCAGCUUUCUGCCCAACAGGAAAAGGCAUUAAAGGAAAAUAAAGGACCCAAAACACUAACCCCCCCCUGCUCCACCACCUUAAUAUUAAUCAAAUAAGCCACUAAAACCAAAGGUGCUUAAAUUGUUUGGCAUUUGAGCUAUGAAUGGAAUCUGCUUGUCUCUGCUCCUUGCAGUGAAAAAUACCCUUUCCUGAAUAAUUAACUUAGCUGAAGAAGCUUAUAAAUUCUUUGUAAGUCCUUUUUCCUUCUGACUAGUGAGAAGAAAAUUUUCCACCCCUCACAAUUACAAUCCCGAUGAUGGAUGAGUGUCACGUAGGUAACAAAUGUGCCUGAGCAGGAACCCUCUGCAUGAGCUGCGUGGAGAACAGGGGAGGCUCAAACCCAGGCUCAGGAAAUAUCUGGGACCAGCGGAGAAGGUCAUGGCAACGUUUAGGGACAUGUCCCUUACUAAUGAUGUCCAGAGGUGGCCCACUUACUCACUCUUCUGCAGAUGAGCUCCAGGUGGUGCUCUGAAGAAGACUGGAACCUGAUUUUCUUGACUUCCACUGGAUCACUGAUGGGCUCUUGGCACCUCAAGCAAUCAGAUUUCAGGUGUCCCAAAGCAUGUACCUCAAACCCAAGGUACUCAACUUGUGGCACUUGCAGAAAGGGUCAAGUCUGUCUCAGUUCUGUAAUGCCUGGAAAGCAGUGCCAUGCAGUGGGGUUUGAUGUGAAAUAAACACAGAUCCCUCCACAGCACAGUCAAUCGAGAUCCACAGCACAGAAAAAUCACCACUGUAAUUGCUCUCUGUAUCAGCUGCCUCAGGAAAAUAUAAAAUCGUAAAUAAACAAAAAUCAAUGACUGAGUUUGCCCUGGA